rnacentral:tRNA from 1 species
AUAAAUAAGAAGGAUAAGU